rnacentral:rRNA from 1 species
ACGUGGGUGAUCUGCCCUGCACUUUGGGAUAAGCCUGGGAAACUGGGUCUAAUACCGGAUAUGACCACGGCACUUCAUGGGUUGUGGUGGAAAGCUUUUGCGGUGUGGGAUGGGCCCGCGGCCUAUCAGCUUGUUGGUGGGGUAAUGGCCUACCAAGGCGACGACGGGUAGCCGGCCUGAGAGGGUGACCGGCCACACUGGGACUGAGAUACGGCCCAGACUCCUACGGGAGGCAGCAGUGGGGAAUAUUGCACAAUGGGCGCAAGCCUGAUGCAGCGACGCCGCGUGAGGGAUGACGGCCUUCGGGUUGUAAACCUCUUUCACCACGGGACGAAGCGCAAGUGACGGUACCUGCAGAAGAAGCACCGGCCAACUACGUGCCAGCAGCCGCGUAAUACGUAGGGUCCGAGCG